rnacentral:rRNA from 1 species
UACAGAGAGGGCGAGCGUUAUUCAUCGGAACUGGGCGUAAAGGGUGCGUAGGCGGACAUUACUUAGAAAAACUUGAUAGCAAUGUUUGUGUAUCGACACAAAGCUUAUCUCGCAAAGUUUGUCUAUUGAGAUAUGAGCAGGUUAUUGGAAAGCGAUGUUGAAAGGACCAACAAGUUCAAAAAUAUCGAGUAACACCAAUGGCGAAGGCAGAUAACCAGCCGUAAUCUGACGCUGAGGCACGAAACUUGUGGUAGCGAGAGGG